rnacentral:rRNA from 1 species
UGUGGUUUAAUUCGAAGCAACGCGAAGAACCUUUACCAGGUCUUGACAUCCCGAUGCUAUUUCUAGAGAUAGAAAGUUACUUCGGUACAUCGGUGACAGGUGGUGCAUGGUUGUCGUCAGCUCGUGUCGUGAGAUGUUGGGUUAAGUCCCGCAACGAGCGCAACCCCCUAUUGUUAGUUGCCAUCAUUCAGUUGGGCACUCUAGCGAGACUGCCGGUAAUAAACCGGAGGAAGGUGGGAUGACGUCAAAUCAUCAUGCCCCUUAUGACCUGGGCUACACACGUGCUACAAUGGUUGGUACAACGAGUCGCGAGUCGGUGACGGCGAGCUAAUCUCUUAAAGCCAAUCUCAGUUCGGAUUGUAGGCUGCAACUCGCCUACAUGAAGUCGGAAUCGCUAGUAAUCGCAGGUCAGCAUACUGCGGUGAAUACGUUCCCGGGCCUU